rnacentral:rRNA from 1 species
GAUGAACGCUAGCGGCAGGCCUAACACAUGCAAGUCGAGGGGUAGAGUUCUUCGGGACUUGAGACCGGCGCACGGGUGCGUAACGCGUAUGCAAUCUACCUUAUACAGGGGAAUAGCCCCAGAGAAAUUUGGAUUAAUGCCCCAUAGUGUUAUCGAAUCGCAUGGUUUGAUAACUAAAGUUCCAACGGUAUAAGAUGAGCAUGCGUCCCAUUAGUUAGUUGGUAAGGUAACGGCUUACCAAGACAAUGAUGGGUAGGGGUCCUGAGAGGGAGAUCCCCCACACUGGUACUGAGACACGGACCAGACUCCUACGGGAGGCAGCAGUGAGGAAUAUUGGACAAUGGGGCGCAAGCCUGAUCCAGCCAUGCCGCGUGCAGGAUGACGGUCCUAAGGAUUGUAAACUGCUUUUGUACAGGAAGAAACACUGGUUCGUGAACCAGCUUGACGGUACUGUAAGAAUAAGGAUCGGCUAACUCCGUGCCAGCAGCC